AUGUUAAAGCAACAUUUAUUGAGCUCUUGCUGUGUGCCAAGGCAGGUGAGGACUGUGGGGAAACAACCAAGAACCUGCCUGCAGAGCCUGUUGUCUAAGGGAAGGGCUUACAUGGCCGGAUGGAGAAUGAAUUCCUCUAUAAUUAUUGCCCAAGGGCACACCUGGCGCCAGGCGGGUCUGAGGCACCAAUGCGGGGCCAGACCUCCACCACCGUCCGGUACAGCGAGGCGCAGACUCGGAACCAAAACGCAAAAGGCAGAAGGAAGAAGUCGGGGCGGACGCUGGGCGGGGCGGCAAGGAGAACAGGGCGGUUAGCAUCCGCAGGGGCACACCGCCGCUCCGGGCAGGGCUGGGGAGAGCCACCGCCCGGGAGCCCAGAGCGAGCGGUGGUUGGGGCAGCCUCCAUGGCGCGCCCCGAAACUCCGACGCCGAGCUCGCCACCUCGAUUCCCGCUGCACUGAAGGAUUCCAGCAGUGCCAACCGGAGUCGGUUACUUAGGACUCAGAACGUUAAGAAGCUAGAGCACUCGGCAGUAAGCGCCAUCCCGGGAGCAGGACGCGCAGCAACCGGGCGCAGGGAGGACGACAUCCACCCUCCAGGAGCCCCGCACGUACAGACGGCGGCCGGCCGCGGCGCCUGGGCUGCGCGGCCGCAAAGGAGCUCCGGCGUGUCGUAAAAGGGCCGCACGGGAGCACAGCUCUGGCAGACGGCUGGGGCCCCAUUUUGGACGCCGUCUCUGCUGCGAAGAGCUGGGAGAACCUGUUGCUCAUCACGGCGAGCUCGCUGUCAGCCGGCCGGCCUCUCGGGGGCGGUGACCGGGCCGCAGGGGCGGGGGCGGCGCGAUGCGGCCCGCGGACGCGGACGAGCGGCGAGGGCCCGAGCAGCCUUGCGGCCGCCCCCUGAACCCCACGCGCGCCACCGCCCGCCGGGACGUCGCCGCCCUCGAGCGCGAGCACGUGCGCGCGCACCUGCGGGCCCGCCGGAAGCUGCUGGAGGUCGCGAGCCUGCUGGACGAGCUUCAGAGCGAGGUGGACGCCUCAGCCGAGGGCGUCCUGGGUCCCGGCCGCCGCGCGGGCGGCGAGGCGGAGGAGCGGGUGCUGAAGCUGUGCGAGAAGGCGGAGAGGAAGGCCGCCGAGGCCGCGCUGAUGGGCCGGAGGAUCGUGGAGCUCCACCGGCAGAUAGAGAGCUGCGGGUGCUCCUGAAGGACGCGGGGGCGGGAGGCGCACCGGCCUCUCCCCUCGGGUGAGAGCCGAGGCCAUAGCGCCAACAAAAGACGCGGGGGCAGUGAGAGAAGCGUGAAGCGGAAGUACAGGACGGGAAGUUUACGUGCUGUGAUGAGAUUGGAGCGCUGCCCAUGUCCGGACAGCAAACGAGGCUUGCGGUCAGAGUUCUGCAAGACAGAAGACACUGCCUGGCUGCAGCUGCUGAAGCAAGAACCCAGACUAGUCAAGGAUGUGGAUGCCGCUGCUUUGGAUCAGAUUGAGAAGCCCCUGGGGGGCUGUUGGGCAUGAAGAGGGGUGGCGGCUGCAUUUUGGAAUUUUGCAGUCUCAGAUCAGAGGAGGAGAGCUGUGUUCUUUUCAUUUUCUUUGUUUGCUUGUUUUUUGGGGUUUUGUUUUUUUUUUUUGUCUUUUUUCAGAAAUGUAAUUUUUCUGUGGCAUGUUAACUGGUGCACAUCAUGUAACCUGUCUGGUGAGUAACCUAGAAUAGGGGAUGAGUUCUAGGUACUAUGCGUAUUGGCUGACUUUGGGGUAAACUUUUUGAUAUAAUCAUGCAUUUCAGGAGCUUCUUUGCCACAACUGCACGUGACACUGCAUGGCCUGGAGGGUUUAGGGAGGAGAGUGUGGAUCUGACCGAGUCAGGCCCCAAAAUGAUAGCAGGAAGCAUCUUCCAGGCUGAGAUGAUAUCCACCCUAGGUCCUCAGAGCAGACCUCACAGAGGUUGAGAGCAGAGCUCUAGCUCUAGCUCCCUUUGAUAAAGCUCACUUGCCUGGAAAAACAAAUGCUGAAAGACAGUUUUUAGAACCUUUGUGCAAAUAACCAAAGCCAUUGAUUUGGCCAGGAAAAGGUGAGAUAAAUAAAUUCUUUUCAGAAUGAAA